CCUAGGGGUGGCAGCAGUGAGGAAUAUUGGUCAAUGGACGAGAGUCUGAACCAGCCAAGUAGCGUGAAGGAUGACUGCCCUAUGGGUUGUAAACUUCUUUUAUAUGGGAAUAAAAUGUUCCACGUGUGGGAUUUUGUAUGUACCAUAUGAAAAAGCAUCGGCUAACUCCGUGCCAGCAGCCGCGGUAAUACGGAGGAUGCGAGCGUUAUCCGGAUUUAUUGGGUUUAAAGGGUGCGCAGGCGGAGGUGCAAGUCAGCGGUCAAAUUGCGGGGCUCAACCCCGUACUGCCGUUGAAACUGCAGCCCUUGAGUGCGCGAGAAGUAGGCGGAAUGCGUGGUGUAGCGGUGAAAUGCAUAGAUAUCACGAAGAACUCCGAUUGCGAAGGCAGUUCACUGGACUGCAACUGACACUGAGGCUCGAAAGUGUGGGUAUCAAACAGGAUUAGAUACCCGAGUAGUC
rnacentral:rRNA from 1 species